CUUUGGGGUGUGACUGCGUACCUUUUGUAUAAUGGGUCAGCGACUUAUAUUCUGUAGCAAGGUUAACCGAAUAGGGGAGCCGGAGGGAAACCGAGUCUUAAUUGGGCGUUAAGUUGCAGGGUAUAGACCCGAAACCCGGUGAUCUAGCCAUGGGCAGGUUGAAGGUUGGGUAACACUAACUGGAGGACCGAACCGACUAAUGUUGAAAAAUUAGCGGAUGACCUGUGGCUGGGGGUGAAAGGCCAAUCAAACCGGGAGAUAGCUGGUUCUCCCCGAAAGCUAUUUAGGUAGCGCCUCGUGAAUUCAUCUCCGGGGGUAGAGCACUGUUUCGGCUAGGGGGCCAUCCCGGCUUACCAACCCGAUGCAAACUGCGAAUACCGGAGAAUGUUAUCACGGGAGACACACGGCGGGUGCUAACGUCCGUCGUGAAGAGGGAAACAACCCAGACCGCCAGCUAAGGUCCCAAAGUCAUGGUUAAGUGGGAAACGAUGUGGGAAGGCCCAGACAGCCAGGAUGUUGGCUUAGAAGCAGCCAUCAUUUAAAGAAAGCGUAAUAGCUCACUGGUCGAGUCGGCCUGCGCGGAAGAUGUAACGGGGCUAAACCAUGCACCGAAGCUGCGGCAGCGACACUCAGGUGUUGUUGGGUAGGGGAGCGUUCUGUAAGCCUGCGAAGGUGGCCUGUGAGGGUUGCUGGAGGUAUCAGAAGUGCGAAUGCUGACAUAAGUAACGAUAAAGCGGGUGAAAAGCCCGCUCGCCGGAAGACCAAGGGUUCCUGUCCAACGUUAAUCGGGGCAGGGUGAGUCGACCCCUAAGGCGAGGCCGAAAGGCGUAGUCGAUGGGAAACGGGUUAAUAUUCCCGUACUUGGUGUUACUGCGAAGGGGGGACGGAGAAGGCUAUGUUGGCCGGGCGACGGUUGUCCCGGUUUAAGCGUGUAGGUGUGUGUUCCAGGUAAAUCCGGUU
rnacentral:rRNA from 2 species